GGCAAUUUGAAUCUCAAACUUACUAGAAGAAGGUAAAUUAAUGCCUCGAAGGGUAAAGAAUCAUCGAAUGUCCUAGAAGAUUAGUUAGUACAAGCCAUACUUGAUGCAAGA